rnacentral:rRNA from 1 species
GACGAACGCUGGCGGCGUGCUUAACACAUGCAAGUCGAACGGAAAGGCCCUGCUUUUGUGGGGUGCUCGAGUGGCGAACGGGUGAGUAACACGGGAGUAACCUGCCCUUGACUUUGGGAUAACUUCAGGAAACUGGGGCUAAUACCGGAUAGGAGCUCCUGCUGCAUGGUGUGGGUUGGAAAGUUUCGGCGGUUGGGGAUGGACUCGCGGCUUAUCAGCUUGUUGGUGGGGUAGUGGCUUACCAAGGCAUUGACGGGUAGCCGGCCUGAGAGGGUGACCGGACACAUUGGGACUGAGAUACGGCCCAGACUACUACGGGAGGCAGCAGUGGGGAAUAUUGCACAAUGGGCGGAAGCCUGAUGCAGCAACGCCGCGUGCGGGAUGACGGCCUUCGGGUUGUAAACCGCUUUCGCCUGUGACGAAGCGUGAGUGACGGUAAUGGGUAAAGAAGCACCGGCUAACUACGUG